rnacentral:rRNA from 1 species
AACGAACGCUGGCGGCAUGCCUAACACAUGCAAGUCGAACGCGACCUUCGGGUCUAGUGGCGCACGGGUGCGUAACGCGUGGGAAUCUGCCCGUCGGUUCGGAAUAACAGUUAGAAAUGACUGCUAAUACCGGAUGAUGACGUAAGUCCAAAGAUUUAUCGCCGAAGGAUGAGCCGGCGUAGGGUUAGGUAGUUGGUGGGGUAAUGGCCCACCAAGCCGACGAUCCUUAGCUGGACUGAGAGGAUGAUCAGCCACACUGGGACUGAGACACGGCCCAGACUCCUACGGGAGGCAGCAGUGGGGAAUAUUGGACAAUGGGCGAAAGCCUGAUCCAGCAAUGCCGCGUGAGUGAUGAAGGCCUUAGGGUUGUAAAGCUCUUUUACCAGGGAUGAUAAUGACAGUACCUGGAGAAUAAGCUCCGGCUAACUCCGUGCCAGCAGCCGCCGUAA